rnacentral:rRNA from 1 species
GUAGGUGGCAAGCGUUGUCCGGAAUUAUUGGGCGUAAAGCGCGCGCAGGCGGUUCUUUAAGUCUGAUGUGAAAGCCCACGGCUCAACCGUGGAGGGUCAUUGGAGACUGGAGAACUUGAGUACAGAAGAGGAAAGCGGAAUUCCACGUGUAGCGGUGAAAUGCGUAGAGAUGUGGAGGAACACCAGUGGCGAAGGCGGCUUUCUGGUCUGUAACUGACGCUGAGGCGCGAAAGCGUGGGGGAGCAAACAGGAUUAGAUACCCUGGUAGUCCACGCCGUAAACGAUGAGUGCUAAGUGUUAGGGGGUUUCCGCCCCUUAGUGCUGCAGCUAACGCAUUAAGCACUCCACCUGGGAGUACGGCCGCAAGGCUG